GUGGGGAAUAUUGGACAAUGGGGGCAACCCUGAUCCAGCCAUGCCGCGUGUGUGAAGAAGGCCUUUUGGUUGUAAAGCACUUUAAGCAGGGAGGAGAGGCUAAUGGUUAAUACCCAUUAGAUUAGACGUUACCUGCAGAAUAAGCACCGGCUAACUCUGUGCCAGCAGCCGCGGUAAUACAGAGGGUGCGAGCGUUAAUCGGAAUUACUGGGCGUAAAGCGAGUGUAGGUGGCUCAUUAAGUCACAUGUGAAAUCCCCGGGCUUAACCUGGGAACUGCAUGUGAUACUGGUGGUGCUAGAAUAUGUGAGAGGGAAGUAGAAUUCCAGGUGUAGCGGUGAAAUGCGUAGAGAUCUGGAGGAAUACCGAUGGCGAAGGCAGCUUCCUGGCAUAAUAUUGACACUGAGAUUCGAAAGCGUGGGUAGCAAACAGGAUUAGAAACCCUGGUAGUCC
rnacentral:rRNA from 1 species